AGACCUGACCAAUCUCUGAUGCCAGCCAAUGUAUGAUGCUGCUUCACUCCCUCUGUGGCUCCUGGGAGUCUGCUGGUAGACAGUUUUUCCAGAUUUGCACUAUCUUUAAUGUAAAUAUUGGGCCAAAGAAAUGCUAAACAAGUGGUCAAAAAUAAACUAUUCUGUUUCAGGUUUUUGUUGUUUGUUUCCCCCUAAGCAAGUUUCUGAAGUAAGUAAAGCCACAUGAACCUUUCAGAGAAAAAGAAUGUCUUUCUUCUUCCAAAUCAGAUUUUGCUUAUGACAGAACUGGGAAAUGGUGCUGCGAUUGCCCCAUCCUUUCUCCUUUACCUCUCAGGCAACUGGGUUUCUCUGCACUAAUUCUUCCUUGAACACAAGCAUACCCUUCAGGGGAAGAAAUUACUUUGACCAACUGUUUGACUUACUCCAGAAGAGACUGGUUUCACAUCUGAAACUGUCAAGGUUGAAUCGGCAGACCAUGAAGUCUAUUAAGCCAUGCCCUGUGUAGGAGCUGCCAGGGCACAGCAGCAGCAGUGAAGGCUGUGGGGGCUCCGUGAGGGGAGGCCGGGGCUGCCCCAGCCGGACACAGCCAGUUCCAGCCGGACACAGCCGGAUCCAGCCGGACACAGCCAGUUCCAGCCGGACACAGCCGGAUCCAGCCGGACACAGCCAGUUCCAGCCGGACACAGCCGGUUCCAGCCGGACACAGCCGGAUCCAGCCGGACACAGCCGGAUUCAGCCGGAUCCAGCCGCGCACUGCAGGGCUGAGCCACGGCCAGGUGGGCACUGUAUGGAAACAUAGGCUUGACCACGCGCGGGCUAGGAGAUAGAUGCCACUCCAGCCACCGUGGCAGCCACGUGAGAAUAAACUUUCUCCAGCCACGCAGGACAAGACAAAGCACAGAGCCUAGCCGGGCUCCCCAGCCACCCGAGAUGGGAGAGAAGAACACAAUGCCGCACCCUGCAGCCUGAGGAGAGGAUCACAAGGAUCACAACAGAGCAGAUGCCAUCCGUGGACAAUCCGUGGAGAACCUCUCUGCUGGAGCAAAUGCAUUGCAAUGGACUGCUCAGAGAAGUGGUGGAGUGACCAUCCCAGAAGGGGCUCAAAAAUGGACUGGAUGUGGCACUUAGUGCUAUGGUCUCAUUGACGAGGUCGAUGUCAGAGGAAAAAGAUAUGAUUUGCUCAGAAGCUGAGACACAGAUACAGAUAACUAGAUGUAGAAACUUGAAAAGUUUGUCACAGCUUUCUGCUUCAGUAUGGUAUUCAUCUUGUCAGCCCUUCCAUUUUAUUUAUUUUGAAAAAAUAAACUUCACUUUAAUACAUCAA